UACGUAGGGGGCAAGCGUUGUCCGGAUUUAUUGGGCGUAAAGAGCGUGUAGGCGGCCAUACAGGUCAGCUGUGAAAACUCGAGGCUCAACCUCGGAACUGCCUUCGAUACUGCGGGUCUCGAGUCCGGGAGAGGUGAGUGGAAUUCCUAGUGUAGAGGUGAAAUUCGUAGAUAUUAGGAAGAACACCAGUGGCGAAGGCGGCUCACUGGUCCGGUACUGACGCUGAGGUGCGAAAGCGUGGGGAGCAAACAGG
rnacentral:rRNA from 1 species